rnacentral:lncRNA from 1 species
CCGGCUGGCGCUGGUCCCCGCAGCUCAGCGGACUCAGUAGCGGCCCGGGGCGCUCCGCCUGCUCCCGGGCUGCAUGCCUGCGAGCGCCUGGAGGAGCGAGCCUCAGGAGCGGCCCGCUGGCCACUGCUUCCCGGGCGCAGGGCUCGGGCGGCGUAGCUUGCACUUCCGAGACGCCUGCAGAGUAGGGCGGCCCGGGCUAACCUGCUGCCUCGCCCGGCCUGUCGCCGCCACCGCCACCGCCACCGCUGAGCGCGGCGUCGCGAGAAAAGGAAACAAAAGCACAGAGAGGUUAACACUUUAUCCAAAGCCCCCAGCUAUCAAGAGUGAGCCUACAGCUUGAAGAUGAUCCUGAGCCUGUGAUGUGUCCUGCCUGCAAGCUUUGUAUGAACAUCCAGAACAACUGCUCUCCAUCCCGCGGAGGGAUGUGCGUAAUGUGGGCGUUUUCACCGCUGUAAUGAUGGCAGGCAACGGGAUAUGACAUUUAGUAGCCAAGAGACAAAGAUAUCAGCUGUCUCAAUAUAUAGACCCC